CUUCAAAGUAUUUUCUUGAUUACAUUUAAAUAAAUGGAGAAAGACAUUUUUGCACUGAGUACUUUUUCUCUUUGCUCUCAUAGGAUUCUUCCUCAAGAGUAUGCGUUCUUUGAUGAACAUAGGAGAAUAAGUAGAAGUUAUUAGAUGAAGAUUGUUAUUCCUUCCAGCACCAGUACAGAAGUGCAGCAGACCCUGUGGGGCUUUACCUGAUAGUGUUCCAAAUGGCCUUAUGGGUUCUGGGAGCCAAUUCUUCUGCAACAGUGUGGAAUUCCUCCUGGAGCCUUGCCUGGUUUUUCAUGAUAACUCAGAGCUCAUCAGCUUCUUUGUGAACAUUUUCUGCGAUUUUCCUUGAUUGGUUUGACUAAUCAUUGUCCAGAGGACCUAUUGGCCUCCCUAGAUUUGGAGACAUCACUCUGUAUUCCUUACCAUUUAACCUGGCUGGCUCAGUUGGUGGAGCGUGUGACUCUUGAUCUUGGGGUUGUAACUUCAAGCCCCACAUUGGGUGUAGAGAUUAUUUUAAAAAAAUCUUUAAAAAAAUUUAAAAAUGAAAGAAACAAAGUUGACUAAAAAGAGAUUUUAAUAUUGGCCUCUGUGAUAGGUCACUGUAAAUCACCUCCAAAGAACCCUUUGUCCCUGCCUUUGAGGGACAAAGAUCCCUAUUCC
rnacentral:lncRNA from 1 species